UACGUAGGUGGCAAGCGUUGUCCGGAUUUACUGGGCGUAAAGGGCGCGUAGGCGGCCCUCUUAGUCGCGUGUGAAAGCCCCGGGCUCAACCUGGGAACGGCGCGCGAAACGGGAGGGCUGGAGUUCGGGAGAGGAGAGUGGAAUUCCCAGUGUAGAGGUGAAAUUCGUAGAUAUUGGGAAGAACACCGGUGGCGAAGGCGGCUCUCUGGACCGAGACUGACGCUGAGGCGGCGAAAAGCGUGGGGGAGCAAACAGGG
rnacentral:rRNA from 1 species